GGUGAAAUGCGCAGAGAUAUGGAGGAACACCAGUGGCGAAGGCGACUUUCUGGUCUGUAACUGACGCUGAUGUGCGAAAGCGUGGGGAUCAAACAGGAUUAGAUACCCUGGUAGUCCACGCCGUAAACGAUGAGUGCUAAGUGUUAGGGGGUUUCCGCCCCUUAGUGCUGCAGCUAACGCAUUAAGCACUCCGCCUGGGGAGUACGACCGCAAGGUUGAAACUCAAAGGAAUUGACGGGGACCCGCACAAGCGGUGGAGCAUGUGG
rnacentral:rRNA from 1 species